CAUCGCCGCCGUGGCAAAAAAAGCCCAAGGAAGCAGCGAAAGUAACGUGUGGAAAGGGGAGCGUCUCCGAGAGCGAGAGCGAGAAGAGCGAGGGAGAGAACUGAAGCGGACGGCGAGGUUUUUGCUCCCAAUCCCCUCCUCCCCAAACACCUCGCCGCCGCCGCAUCGGGUCGCCGCCCCUCCAUCCACCCGAGCCCUUUCUCGCCGCCGCGGCGUCGUCGGCCGCGGCCGCGGCUGGGAAGCAUCCGGAUGGCGGGCGGCGGGCGGGGCGCCGGGCUGCCGGCGGCGGGCGAGGCCGCGAAGGCCGGGCGGGUGGGCGUGGGGACGACGAAGAGGGCCAGGGACCCGUCGCCCAACUCCAAGGAUCCCAACGGUUUUGUUGGAGUGAUUGCUGCUGAGAAGAAACCAGCACUGCAGCUUCAUGGCGAUGAAAAAUAUCAGAAGAAAGCUGGGAAUGAUCCUGUACCUCCUACCAUUGAUGAUACAUCCAAAACUGGAGGUCUUCAUUUGCAUGGUGGUCAUGUAUCACAAAGCCCACCUGAUUCUAAUGCUUUGAGUUCGCAACGAUUUGGGAGUUCAUCUCCUGGUGGAGAUAUGAAGAACAAAACCAGAAAGCGUACCUGUACCUUUUAUGCUCAAGGGCGAUGCAAGAAUGGGAAGAGUUGCACUUUUCUUCAUGAAGGGGAGGUAUCUGGUUCUGAUAACCAGGUUUAUGGAAAUCAUGGAGGCACUGGAGAAGGAUCUGAAAUACAACAUCCAUCCAGCUCAAAAGAGCACCAGUUCAAAAAUUCAGCGGGGUCAUCCCAACAUGAGAUAUAUAGGACCCUUGUUCAUGCAUAUGGUGAAGAUAAUAGGGGGUUGACACAUCCCGUUGUUAAACAUAGUUGUCACAUGCUAAAGGCUUCGCAUGGUUUCAAAAUUGGUGGUUCAUUGACUGCAAAUCCUACUAAUGAGGUGGUUCAGCUUCCAGUAGUUCAAGAGAAGAAUCAUGAACCUUAUUUCAUGGGACAUCAAAUUAGUUUGGGCACUAACAACUGUUUGAAUGACAUGGGUGCCUAUUCUAGAUUGCGCCUAGAUGGAGGAAAGCUGCAGUUUGAAGUGGCCAAGGGUGACAGUCCAAGGGAUUCACAUCUAUCAAGAUCUUACCUUGAAAAGAACCCCUUAAAGCCUGAUUAUCGGUAUCAACCGUUUGACUCAACUAUUUCAUUAGAUCCUCACCAAUAUAGCAAGAAGUUGUCAGCUUAUGGUGGAGCAACAGAGAAUCUUCCUCACAAACAUCAGGAAGAAAAAAGUUCAAGCCAUGUCUCAUACAGUUUGAAUAGUUAUACAGGAUUCAGAAAGCAAGGUCAUGACAGCUCUGAUUUUUUCUUGGUUAAUCAGUCUCUCCGAGCAACUUCUCACCAUGGAACCCUGCCUCUUCAUCAAUUAACACCUGAUAAGGAUGCCAGUCACCAUAAAGGUGCUGAUUUUGACAAGGGUGGUACCUCUAGGUCUACAUUACAUGUGAGCAGUUCAUCUCAACCUGUGGUAGCAUCGGCUGGGAAACUUUCCCCAAUCAAGGAUGAGGUUUGGAUAACUUCAGUGCCUUUUGUACCUUCUUUUAAUUUUCCUGAUUUUCCUGGCAGUACAUCACCUUCAAAAAGUCAGUAUGACCCACUUGUCGACAGUAUCGACCCUCCCAAAGUUGAAAGUUUAAAUAAUCUGAAGACCUCAAACAUAUCCUGCAGCAUUUCAAGCCAACAUGUAGAUACGAAUGUUAUAAGAGGGGGAAGUCUUGAAAAACCAUUGACUUUUGCUGACAAGUUGGCAAGGAAUGUAUCUGCUAAAGGAUCAAAUGAUUUUGGUUUGAUUUCAUAUGAUAGGGGACACAGCUCUAGCCUGGAUGGUGAUAAUAGGGUGAAAACCUGUGAAAGGAAAAAUGAUGCAUCACUUAACAAUGAGAAAUCAGACUUUCGUUUUCAUUUGGUGGAGCAUGUAAAGGAGCUGGUGAAACCAAUCUGGAAGGAAGGCAAUUUGAGUAAAGAGGCUCAUAAACUGAUUGUGAAAAAAUCUGUUGAUAAGAUUUUUGCUUCACUUGAGCCAAAUCAGAUGCCAGAGACUGAGAAGGCGAUAACUACUUAUAUAACAGCCUCUGCACCAAAGAUAGAAAAACUUGUGAAGGCAUAUGUUGAUCGUUAUCGCACAUCAUGAGAUCCAGGCUUCUAAUUAUGAGCUACAACAUUGAAGAGAUGGGGUUUGAGCCUGCUGGCCUACCAAUGCGUUUUGUUGCUGUGCUAGAUGUUUUGAGUAAGGAAUUAUGUUUUAACCUUUCUGUGGGGUAGGGCAGCUUAGGCCCUAGGAGAGUGUGGCAUCCCUUGCAACUUUUAUUGUGCAUAGAGGACAUGAAGGCAACAAUUUGGGACUAAAGAGAUAUGGAUGGAACCAAUGGAGCUUAGCAGUACACAACAUAGUCUACAUGGAGCUCAUCGGCACUAACAAGCUGUCAUCAAUGAUAAUAUUGUUUUCUUGAUCUCCCUAAAAGGUCACACGCUUUGGGAGGUAGGACAAAUUUCUUUGCUGCGGCCGAUGAUUACAUGAUGGGGGCUAGUAGUAUGAUGUGGUACUAGGGAAGGCCAGGGCCCUUGGUACGACGGGAGUAAGUUCAAUAUGGCACCAUGGAUUAUAUGUUUGAUCUGGUUAUGCUAUGAGUGGAACAUUUGCCCUAAUGAGCACUGCUGAAUUGCUCGAUAAUUACUAGAGUAAGAUGGCAUCUUGCUGACUGCAUCUGCUUCCAAUAAUUCUUAAUGAAGGCACGAAACAUGGUACUUGUUUGCACCAAGAUGAUUAUCAAGUGUUCAGUAAAUCAGUUCCCUUUGGCUACUAAUUCUGUGCUCUGAGAGAUGUUGCUCUCGAGAUUCCAGUGGAGUUGAUGCUGAUCCCCAGUCUUUAUUUAGUAAAUUGAAGACCGCGAUGGUCCACCUGAAUAUAUUACUUCUCAAAGAUAGCAGUACUGAUACAAAGCCCAAGCACAGGCGUGAAAAAUAAGUGACGAGGAAGGGAAAAGAGUACGAUGAGGUUAUGUUUCAUGAUUUUCAUCUUGUUGAUGACAGGGCAGAAUGGGGGUCAGUUUGUGUAGGUUCUUGGGUAGGUUCUUGGGUGCGCAUUGAAGCCAUAACUUGAUGAUCCGUUGUUUAUUAUUCCUUCAUGAUAUUAGCUUGGUUGGUUAGAGGGGUUGGAGAGAUAUCUUGGAGAUCUUUCAGUUCUUUGGAUCUUACCUUCACUUAGAGGAGAUGUGAUUCGAGUUGUUCAAACAGGGCUGCAUGAUGUGUUUCUAGUUCACGUGUAUAUUCAUGGGCUAGUAAUAUAUCCAGAAACAUGCUGCAAAUAUUGAUGGGCAAGUAACACAUUCAGAAAAAUACUGCAACGAGGGUGUUGGUGAUUCACUAACUUCACUUAAUGAUGGAAGUGACCAGGGUUUUUUCCUCUUGUGAUUCAGAAUAACAUAACUACAGUUCUAGCUUACAAAGUGUUUGACGUGAACCAUAAACAUGGCCGUUUGAGCCAUGCUGAUUAAUCAUAAACCCUCUUUCUGAAGGAUGUAGACCAUGCAGUGUUUGCAGUCUUCUGCUGUUGGGUCGGUGCAUCGCAAAUAGACCUUGGCAGAAUGCAAACCCUACCUGCCCUCUGCAUGCUCACUCAUAUUGGACCAUACAUGAUACAUGUAUGUUGGUUGAGUAAUUUCAAUCCACUGUCACGUGGUGAUUUGGUCCUGGAUCAGUGUGCUUGGAUGACAAAAACUAUAUCCUUGCUUUUAUUGUAUUUGUUGUGCAUCAGAGAAAGGGAAGUGAACAGAAGCACAAACUCUACUAUUGCUUUUAUUGUAUAUCCAUUGAGCAUCAGAGAAGGGGAAGUGAACAAAACCGCAAAUGAAUUGGUUUGUUGGCGAAUGCUACCAGAAGUCGAGCAGAUAGUAUGUUAAAGCGUUCAGGGUGGAGAAUUAGAAAGUUAACGAGAUGGGGACAAGAUGGCAGUUGCCGGGUCAGGGUAUUCUCACAAUAAAUCUUGAUGGCGUGUCUUCCUUUCAGCAUCUUGAGUUUGUUUUAUGAUCCGUGAUCACGUUUGAGUUGUAAUCUGGUUGAUAUCCUGUAUCAAGGGUUCGGAAACAGCGACGAAUCUGGGCGUUAGAAUAUUGUUAGUUGAACCCAAUUCUGUGAUCCUGAAGAAUGCGACUGAAGGGGAUUCUUUUGAUAUCUCAGCUUAACGACGCCCUGUUCGUAUUCAAAAGGUGCUGAAUAUGUUCUUCAGUUUACAGUAGUUCUCGUGUUUUCUAUUGUCGGUGCAAGUGUGUAACUGUAACCAAGUGGUUCAUGCCAUUGCCAUGUCCAUGUUGGGUUCUAACCCUAGCUCAUGAGGAAUCUCCAGGUUGCUUUAA